CAGCCGCCGCGGUAAAACGAAGGGUGCAAGCGUUAAUCGGAAUUACUGGGCGUAAAGCGUGCGUAGGCGGUUUGUUAAGUCUGUUGUGAAAUCCCCGGGCUCAACCUGGGAAUGGCAAUGGAUACUGGCAAGCUAGAGUGUGUCAGAGGAUGGUGGAAUUCCCGGUGUAGCGGUGAAAUGCGUAGAGAUCGGGAGGAACAUCAGUGGCGAAGGCGGCCAUCUGGGACAACACUGACGCUGAGGCACGAAAGCGUGGGGAGCAAACAGGAUUAGAUACCCCGGUAGUCCCUGUCUCUUAUAA
rnacentral:rRNA from 1 species